AGUCGCUGACUCAGGAUGGAUACUUAGGGAUCUACCCAGUAGUGCAGUCAAUUGAAGGCAAACGCGAGCAAUUCCUCUGAUUCUCUACGUAACAAAGGGGGGGAUGUUAGGGCUCGCUAUAUUGAAAGAGCAUAAGUCGGAUUAGGUUGUUUGUGAGGUAAAAGCUCUACAAGGCGCGAUCCAUAGAUGUUUGAGAGGACGAUCAGUCCCCCUGGGAAUGUGACACGACCCAAACUCCUACGGGAGGCAGCAGUGCGGAAUAUGGGGAAAUGGGGGCAGCCUUAUUCCCUCAAUCCCGCAUGUUGAAGAAGGCUUGCGGGUUGUAAAGCCAUUUCCGUGUAGAAGGAAAGCUUUCGGUUCAGAGCUGUGAGUAUGGAUGUAACCUACAGAAGAAGCCUGGGGUAAUUCCGUGCCCACAGCCGGCGUAAUAAGGAGGGGGCAAGCGUUUAUCGGAAUUACUGGGCGUAAAGCGCGCGUAGGCGGCUUAAAAGUUUCAUAUGAAAGCCCUCGCUCAACCUGGGAAAUGCAUUGGAAACCCACAACUAGAGUAUAGUAGAGGGAAGUGGAAUUUCCGUUGUACCGGGGAAAUAGGUAGAUAUCGGAAGGAACACCAGUGAUGAAGUGGAGUUCCUGGGCCAAUAUUGAUCCUUAGGUGCGAAAAGGUGGGGAGCAAACACCAUUAGAUACCGUGUUGGUACACGCGGUAAACGAUGAGAACUAGAUGUUGGG
rnacentral:rRNA from 1 species